GACGAACGCUGGCGGCGUGCUUAACACAUGCAAGUCGAGCGGUAAGGCCCUUUCGGGGGUACGACGAGCGGCGAACGGGUAGGAGUAACACGUGGGUGGACCUGCCCUCCAGCUCUGGGAGUAAGACCUGGGAAACGUAGGGUCGUAAUAACUGGAUAUGACUCCACGGUGCACGUCGUGGGGUGGAAAGCCUUGUGCGGCUGAGGAUGGGCCCGCGGCCUAUCAGCUUGUUGGUGGGGUGGAUGGCUUACCAAGGCGACGACGGGUAGCCGG
rnacentral:rRNA from 1 species